AGUGAACGCUGGCGGUAGGCCUAACACAUGCCAGUCGAACGGCAGCACAGUAAGAGCUUGCUCUUACGGGUGGCGAGUGGCGGACGGGUGAGGAAUACAUCGGAAUCUACUUUUUCGUGGGGGAUAACGUAGGGAAACUUACGCUAAUACCGCAUACGACCUUCGGGUGAAAGCAGGGGAUCUUCGGACCUUGCGCGAUUGAAUGAGCCGAUGUCGGAUUAGCUAGUUGGCGGGGUAAAGGCCCACCAAGGCGACGAUCCGUAGCUGGUCUGAGAGGAUGAUCAGCCACACUGGAACUGAGACACGGUCCAGACUCCUACGGGAGGCAGCAGUGGGGAAUAUUGGACAAUGGGCGCAAGCCUGAUCCAGCCAUACCGCGUGGGUGAAGAAGGCCUUCGGGUUGUAAAGCCCUUUUGUUGGGAAAGAAAAGCAGCAGGUUAAUACCCCGCUGUUCUGACGGUACCCAAAGAAUAAGCACCGGCUAACUUCGUG
rnacentral:rRNA from 1 species